GACUACCGGCUGGCUGGCUGGCGGGCGGGCUUCAACCUGCAGAGAACCAAUGGCGACUUUCCUACGCCCCACGUGCUAUCGCGAACUUAUCCUUCCACCUUCUACCUUUCUAUGUUUUUUUAACUUCCUGCCACUUUCUUACUAGAGAAAAUACAGAGUCUAGCUUGUUGGCUUUGCACGUACCAUUCUUUGAAAUUUAUUAUGGCAUCCGCAUAUGCAUAUACAUUCCUAUGGAACAUACUGAGACAAUAUAACCUAUAAGGAUACGACAGAAGUCAAACAAAAGACUGACGGACUUCUGUCCGAUCGUAACGAGUGAAUCUAAUUUGACGCGAGUGUGUUUAAGUGAAUUUAAAAUCCACCAACAUUCAACAUGGCGAUCGGUAUUAUUUAAUGACGAUUAAUGACACUGUGUGUGCUUUAGGCCGUGAUCUGUAACGAUCAUUAAAAUGAUCUUGUAUCGUGAAUGGUUCGCAUUUCCUCUGGUGAAAUUAUAAGAUAAUGAGUGUCGGAUAUGACACAUGGACAAAUAGUCUAUCGUAGACAUACGUUAACACGACAGAGCAUGUCUAAUGGACAAGCAGUGUUUUUAUCACAGGCUAAUAAUUUUUCGAGCCUGGAUAAUGUAUUGCCGUAUGAGAAUCUGCGAUUUAACCUGGCACAAGGUUACCAUGGUAUUUUCUACAGAGGUGGGAUUCAUCGAUCGAACUCGAUAAAAACCGUGUAAUUGCGGUCACCUUUGUAUCUCAUGAAGGCCACUGCAAUUGAUAUUGAUGAUUCCAACUUGGUGGCAUUAGUGGAUUUUGGGUAAUUUUAUACAUUUAAAAAUUUGCUUGAUACACAUUUACCAUCCGAUUUUCUGGUGAUAACAUCGGCGCUGCAUUGUUUCUGUAGAGGGAGCAGAUAACCAUAAUUUGCUCUAAACAAUUGUUGAAAGUAACUAGUUGUCACUGAAAGGAUGUUUCUCAGG